rnacentral:rRNA from 1 species
GAUGAACGCUGGCGGCGUGCCUAAUACAUGCAAGUCGAACGCUGAAGGAAGGAGCUUGCUCUUUCCGGAUGAGUUGCGAACGGGUGAGUAACGCGUAGGUAACCUGCCUGGUAGCGGGGGAUAACUAUUGGAAACGAUAGCUAAUACCGCAUAACAGUAGAUAUUGCAUGAUAUCUGCUUGAAAGGGGCAAUUGCUCCACUACCAGAUGGACCUGCGUUGUAUUAGCUAGUUGGUGAGGUAACGGCUCACCAAGGCGACGAUACAUAGCCGACCUGAGAGGGUGAUCGGCCACCCUGGGACUGAGACACGGCCCAGACUCCUACGGGAGGCAGCAGUAGGGAAUCUUCGGCAAUGGACGGAAGUCUGACCGAGCAACGCCGCGUGAGUGAAGAAGGUUUUCGGAUCGUAAAGCUCGGUUGUAAGAGAAGAACGAGUGUGAGAGUGGAAAGUUCACACUGUGACGGUAGCUUACCAGAAAGGGACGGCUAACUACGUG